rnacentral:rRNA from 1 species
GACGAACGCUGGCGGCGUGCUUAACACAUGCAAGUCGAACGGUGAAGCGCCUUCCUUUCUGGUCGGUGUGGAUGAGUGGCGAACGGGCGAGUAACACGUGAGUAACCUGCCCCUUUCUUCUGUAUAACCGCAUGAAAGUGUGGCUAAAACGGGAUAUUCUGGGUAUGUCGCCUGAUUGGUCCGUGAAAGAACUUGUUUCAGUCGGGGAGGGGAGCGCGGGCUAUCAGCUUGUUGGCUGGGUGAUGGCCUACCAAGGCGGUGACGGGUAGCUGGCAUGAGAGGGAUGACGGGCCCACUGGGGAUGGGGCACGGCCAAGACUGAUAUGGGAGGCAGCCGUGAGGAAUAUUGGACGAUGGGGGGAAGCAUGAUGCAGCGACGCGGCGUGAGGGAUGGAGGCCUUCGGGUUGAGAAACUCUUGCGCUAGUGAAGUAGGGCUGCCUCGUUUGUGGGUGGGUUGACGGUAGCUGGAUAAGAAGCGCCGGCUAACUACGUG